UACGGGGGGGUGCGAGCGUUGUCCGGAUUCACUGGGCGUAAAGGGCGCGUAGGCGGCCCGAUCAGUCCGACUUUUAAGAGCGGGGCUCACCCCCCGUGGUGGGUCGGGGACGGUCGGGGCUGGGGCGCGGCAGAGGGGGGACGGAAUGCCGGGUGAGUGGUGAAAUGCGUAGAGAUCCGGCGGAACACCGGUGGCGCAGGCGGUCCCUGGGCCGAGGCCGACGCUGAGGCGCGAGAGCGUGGGGAGCGGAACCGG
rnacentral:rRNA from 1 species